rnacentral:rRNA from 1 species
GAUGAACGCUGGCGGCGUGCCUAAUACAUGCAAGUCGAGCGAACAGACGAGGAGCUUGCUCCUCUGACGUUAGCGGCGGACGGGUGAGUAACACGUGGAUAACCUACCUAUAAGACUGGGAUAACUUCGGGAAACCGGAGCUAAUACCGGAUAAUAUAUUGAACCGCAUGGUUCAAUAGUGAAAGACGGUUUUGCUGUCACUUAUAGAUGGAUCCGCGCCGCAUUAGCUACUUGGUAAGGUAACGGCUUACCAAGGCAACGAUGCGUAGCCGACCUGAGAGGGGGAUCGGCCCCCCUGGACCUGAGCCCCGGUCCAGACUCCUACGGGAGGCAGCGGGAGGGAUUCUGCCGCAAUGGGCGAAAGCCGGACGGAGCAACGCCGCGUGGGUGAUGAAGGUCUUCGGUUCGUAAAACCUUGUUAUGAGGGAAGAACAAAUGUGUAAGUAACUAUGCUCGUCUGGACGGUACCAAAGCAUAAAGCCCCGCCUACCUCCGU